GACGAACCGUGCGAACGUUAUUCGGAAUCACUGGGCUUAAAGCGUGCGUAGGCGGCUCAGAAAGUUGGGUGUGAAAUCCCUCGGCUCAACCGAGGAAUUGCGCCCAAAACUACUGGGCUUGAGGGAGUUAGAGGUGGAGCGGAACUCACGGUGGAGCGGUGAAAUGCGUUGAUAAUCGUGAGGAACACCGGAGGCGAAAGCGGCUCACUGGGGCUUCACUGACGGCUGAGGCACGAAAGCUGGGGGAGCAAACCGG
rnacentral:rRNA from 1 species